rnacentral:rRNA from 1 species
GACAGAGGGUGCAAACGUUGUUCGGAAUUACUGGGCGUAAAGCGCGUGUAGGCGGUUAUGCAAGUCGGGCGUGAAAGCCCCGGGCUCAACCCGGGAAGUGCAUUCGAUACUGCGUAGCUAGAGUACUGGAGAGGAUGGUGGAACUCUCGGUGUAGAGGUGAAAUUCGUAGAUAUCGAGAAGAACACCGGUGGCGAAGGCGGCCAUCUGGACAGAUACUGACGCUGAGGCACGAAAGCGUGGGGAGCAAACAGG